rnacentral:rRNA from 1 species
AAGUCGGACGGGCGCGGGGGCUUCGGCCUUUGCGUCAGUGGCGGACGGGUGAGUAACGCGUAGGGAUCUGUCUUUGGGUGGGGGAUAACCGUGGGAAACUACGGCUAAGACCGCAUGAAGCCUGAGGGCCAAAGCCUCUCGUGAGGGGGGCGCCUGGAGAGGAGCCUGCGUCCGAUUAGCUGGUUGGUGGGGUAACGGCCUACCAAGGCGAUGAUCGGUAGCUGGUCUGAGAGGAUGGCCAGCCACACUGGGACUGAGACACGGCCCAGACUCCUACGGGAGGCAGCAGUGGGGAAUAUUGGGCAAUGGGCGCAAGCCUGACCCAGCAAUGCCGCGUGGGUGAAGAAGGUCUUCGGAUUGUAAAGCCCUUUCGGCGGGGACGAU